rnacentral:pre_miRNA from 1 species
UAUUGAUGAUGAUGAUGAUGAUGAUGAUGAUGAUGAUGAUGAUGAUCAUCAUCAUCAUCAUCAUCAUCAUCAUCAGCAGCAGCA